rnacentral:rRNA from 1 species
AUCGCAGGCUGCAACCGCCUGCGUGAAGUUGGAAUCGCUAGUAAUCGCGGAUCAGCAUGCCGCGGUGAAUACGUUCCCGGGCCUUGUACACACCGCCCGUCACACCAUGAGAGUCGGGAACACCCGAAGUCCGUAGCCUGACCGCAAGGGGGGCGCGGCCGAAGGUGGGUUCGAUAAUUGGGGUGAAGUCGUAACAAGGUACC